rnacentral:rRNA from 1 species
AGUAACGCGUGAGGAACCUGCCUCAAAGAGGGGACAACAGUUGGAAACGACUGCUAAUACCGCAUAAGCCCACGGCUCGGCAUCGAGCAGAGGGAAAAGGAGCAAUCCGCUUUGAGAUGGCCUCGCGUCCGAUUAGCUAGUUGGUGAGGUAAUGGCCCACCAAGGCGACGAUCAGUAGCCGACCUGAGAGGGUGACCGGCCACAUUGGGACUGAGACACGGCCCAA